rnacentral:lncRNA from 1 species
GGAUCUCCACUCCACCUCGAUCUCAGUUGGAUAUAUUCUCGAUGUUGAUCGAGGAACUGACAGAAGGUCGAUGGUGGGCAACCAUUUAGGCCUCAUCCCUGGCCGAGGUAUCCCGAAGUCCUCUUAGGUCAGCCAAAGCCGACUUACGUUCUUGACAUAGCAGGCUCCAUUGACAGAAGUCGCCCCAUUUCUAGUUUCUCGGCUUGAUCGAAGUACGCUUAGCUCGACCAAAAUCGAUCUACACCUAUUGCACAUAGCAGGUUCCAUUGACAGAGUCCAUCC